rnacentral:misc_RNA from 1 species
UGAUCCUUAACCUUUACCUCAAAGCAGUCGAUCGAACUGAUAACAUACAAAUUACCAAAGCAAAAUAGCGCACAAAAAGUAGACAAAUGCCGAAAGGCUACAGGUGCCUAUUCUAAGCUGCAUUCACAAUGCUACGAUACAGCUAGCGAACUUCAUUUAGAAGACUGCCAACCUCUACCACCUGCAAAACGACCACGUUCUCGAUGAUGAUAUGGUUUCCUUCCGUGGCAUGGAUGGGCAACCAAAUUAAAUUGUUGGGCUGGUUGAUCGUUUUCAGGAGUAACACCACAACUGGUUCGAUAUGUAGUCCGCUGAA